rnacentral:rRNA from 1 species
AGCAGCCGCGGUAAUUCCAGCUCCAAUAGCGUAUAUUAAAGUUGUUGCAGUUAAAAAGCUCGUAGUUGAAUUUCGGGGUUCUACCGUUGGUCGGGCUAACCAGUCUGUACUAGCGUGUAGAAUUUCUACCUUCUGGGGAACCAUCAUGUUAUUAAUUUAGCGUGGUGGGAAACCAGGACCUUUACCUUGAAAAAAUUAGAGUGUUCAAAGCAGGCUUACGUCUGGAUACAUUAGCAUGGAAUAAUAGAAUAGGACGGUGGUCCUGUUUUGUUGGUUUCUGAAUCACCGUAAUGAUUAAUAGGGAUAGUUGGGGGCAUUAGUAUUCAAUUGUCAGAGGUGAAAUUCUUGGAUUUAUUGAAGACUAACUUCUGCGAAAGCAUUUGCCAAGGAUGUUUUCAUUAAAUCAAGUAACGAAAGUUAGGGGAUCGAAGACGAUCAGAUACCGUCGUAGGUCUUAAACCAUAAACUAUGCCGAACUAGGGAUCGGACGAUGUAAAUUUUAUGACUCGUUCGCGCUUAC